CUAUGUAACAGGGGCAGCGGAAUUGACGCUGUAAACCUUUUUUAAGUAGCUUCCAAUAACCUUGAACCUCCUAGGGUAAUAUUAGAAUUAUACAAAGUAUUCAUAGUUUAGAAAACACCUACCAAGUUAACAGGUGGAGACUCCCAUUGGCUGUAUUCUAUCUGCAUUUGAUAAAAAGUAAAAAUUAAAGUGAUUGGGCGGCAUCAUAUUAAAGUGUAAAGUUUCAUUAUUCUACCGCCACAUGGAUCUGUUUCCCUAGCGUAAAUGCUAAUAACGCACAAGAACAGGUAAAUAGCUAAUGUAAGGCUGUCAGUUAUAGCUGCAAACUGUGAAACGUUUUGCAGCUACAAUCCGCUAAUACUACAAUCCGCUAACUGAUCAGACCAUAAUAAUAAAUCAAAAAGUAUAACGAAAACAAAAACACAAACAAAUAUGGGGACCACAUUUGGAUCAGAAGAUGCCCAGUCUACUUGAUCCAGUAUAUUAUAUGUGGGCCCAGGAGAUGCCCAGUUUAUUGGGUCCAUAUAUCUAAAUGAUGGGUAUCUGCCAACCUCCUUGCUCCCAUCCUUGGUGGCUAGACUUCUCCCUGUCUCUCG